rnacentral:rRNA from 1 species
UACGUAGGGUGCAGGCGUUAAUCGGAAUUACUGGGCGUAAAGCGUGCGCAGGCGGCUUUGCAAGACAGAUGUGAAAUCCCCGGGCUUAACCUGGGAACUGCAUUUGUGACUGCAUGGCUGGAGUGCGGCAGAGGGGGAUGGAAUUCCGCGUGUAGCAGUGAAAUGCGUAGAUAUGCGGAGGAACACCAGUGGCGAAAGCGGCCACCUGGACUGCACCUGACGCUGACACGCGAAAGCUAGGGGAGCGAACGGG